rnacentral:tRNA from 1 species
GGGCCGGUAGCUCAGUUGGUCAGAGCAGCGGACUCAUAAUCCGUCGGACGCAGGUUCGAGUCCUGCCCGGCCCAC